ensembl:lncRNA
CAAACACAAGACAAAAGCUCAGCGCACAGAUUCCGGGUACACAUCAAAUCUAAGAUCUAAAGUCCUUGCCUUAUUUCCAUUAAAAAAAAAAAUUUAGCAACACUCCAAAAUAUUUUUAAAGUACAUUUGAUACAUAGACGCCGGCACAGCUUCCCUGUGGAACCCGGGUAAGGAAUUUCCCUGCAAACCGACACAACCCGAGGAGAGGACAGACAUGCAAGGCAGCGAAGAGGAGGACCACUGACCAUGGCCAGGUCCCGCGCCAGCCCCGCCGUCGUGGGUCCCUUACCUUGUGGCUUUUCCCCCCCGGGGGACACCUGACGUUGUUGGAGGCUCCCGCUGUCUGAUUCAUGUCCGGAGGAACUUGGGAACCGAUGCUCUAGAACCUCUCCAAGUUCCUCGGCGCCUGGAGGGUGGCGAGGGGCGCGUCUCCCGGAGGCGAGGUGGGUCCUGGCAGUCCAGCCGUGUCCGGGCGGCGUCCCCUACGCGGCAGGUUUCCGAGGGACCCCUCGCCCAGGGAAGCUGAGCACUGCAAGCCCCGGAGCCGAAGAAGGAGAAGCAGCUGCUGGGAUCCCAGAGGGAGCCGGGCCGGCGCCGGCGGCUCUGAGGGCGCUGUGCCCGGGGCUGCCUUCUCCGGGAAGCAGUCCAGGACUGUCCGGACCUGAGCACCAGCAGAUCCUAAAGGAGCUCCUGGGAGAGGCGAGGAGGUGGAUUCUUGACCAGCUGAGCCAUAGGUGCCAGCAUCGCCCUGCAUCUUCUGACGUUAGUUUCUGCUCAGCCCUUAGGCUCCAGGGGAGCGUCUGGUCUGGCAUGACAACAAGAGUGACUCUGAUGAUGCUCAUUGUUUAAACAAUCCGGAGGCCCUUGCUGGGGGAUUGAGGCUGAAUAAGGACUGGUCAGCUGGAGCGUGAAAUGAUCACUCCCAGGAGACGACAGCUGGAAUGUAAGCUCGUGAUGGAAGCCUGCCCCAGAGAAGCAAGUGGUCUUUAGGAAUGUCGAUGCCUAUGUAUCCAUGUCCUUGCCAAAUCUGUCACCUGCUCGGCCAUGCUGGUAAUAUCCAUGAGACCCUGAGUGAGUCACCAUCUGCUGAGGCAUCAGGUGUCAUCUGUAAAACAAUGGACUUUAAUCACCUAGUCUUUACCAUGAUUUGCAAUUGAAAGAUAAUAUGGUUGAAAAUUUGAGGUAGAAAGGAUUUGAAAUGACCUCUCAAUGGAAGCUUGGCUAACGGAAGAGAAGCCCCAGUGAAAAUAACAUUCAUUACUUUGUUGAUACGUGUGUGUGUGUGUGUGUGUGUGUAUACAUGUAUAUGGAAUAUAUGAAUCCUAUUAAGUGCCAGAAUUAUCCAUUUUCAACAGCUCCAUGCUGCAGUAAGAACAAAUCAGGUUUCGAAAACAAACUUACGGUUGCCAAAAGGGAAAAGUGGAGAGGGGAGAGAAAAAUUAGGCGUUUGAAAUGAACAUAUACACACUACUAUCUACAAAAUAGAUCAUCAACAAAGACCCACUGUGUACUGCAGGGAACUCUACUCAGUGCUGUGUAAUAACCUAUGUGGGGAAAGAACCUGAAAAGAAAAGAAAUAUGCGUAUGUAUAACUGAAUCACUCUGCUGUACACCUGAAGCUAACACAGCAGUGUCAAUCAAGUACGCUCCAAAAUAAAAUAAGCGGGAAAUAACA